CGGGGUGUAGUACAAUGGUAGUAUGCAGGGCUGGGGGUCCUGUGACCCGAGUUCAAUUCUCGGCACCCCGA
rnacentral:tRNA from 1 species